rnacentral:lncRNA from 1 species
UCUGAAAUCUGAUAUUUUAUAUAACAAAGGUUUUUUACAAACAAAAGCCCAAAAAGAAAAGGGAUCCUGACCUACCAACAAGACCCAACUACAACACUAGAAAACCAAACACAGGCCCAUAUCCACUAACAAACAGAUGACGCAAAACAACGUGUUCAACUCAAGAGAAAAGAGGGACACGUGCAAAGACAAUAUCACCGUCUUCUUCCACCUGCGAAUCGUCGCUGCAACUGAACCAAAAACCACCGGAAACCACCGGAAUCACACCGGAAACGCGAGCCACCAUCGAUUUCACCGACUUAAAAGUCGUUAUCGGAACAAACAGAUCACUUUAACUCCGGAAUCAACCGGGAACACGACCACAACCACCGAAAACCACAUCCAACGACUGUGUUGGAAGUUUUACGGAUUCAGCAUCUUUCCACACAUACGCCUAAGUUUUGGAUAGCAUCAAUCAAAUAAACUCAAGAUCUCAUCCAAACCCAGACCACCCAAUCACUAAAACGAAAAACGUCAUACAGCUCGAUCACUUCCGAGGAUUCGAUAGCCGGCAACCACCACCGAAGAAGAAACGGCACGGCCCCAGAAACAAAGCCAGUCAUCCACCAAACGAUCGGUGCGAUACUGGAACAGAAAAACCAAACAUACAGUACCGAAGAACCAACGAUACCGCAUGCCGGACCGGAAACUAAACAAGAUAAACAGAACUGAAAUAAAAAGGAAGAAACCCGACCGACGACGUGGCUAAAGGAGCCCACCAUCGUCGGCCGAGAACUAUUUGGCUAAAGGCGUGAAGAUUAAAAAAAUUAUUAUAUUUUUAAAAAGUAUUUUAUAUUAAAUAGGUUAGAUAUAAUUUAACCAAUAAAAAAUAAGUCUAUUUAAUUUGAUUGGUCACACUGUAUUCAAUAAAUGAAAAAAUUACAUAGAAAUAUGAAAACUAUUUACAUUUUGAAAUAAAAAUAUUUUUCUAAAAAUACUUACAAUAUGAAACGACAUAUGAAACGGAGGGAGUAAGAAGGAGAAAUGAUUACGUUGCCUUCUCGUAGCGUUGAUGGGACCACACUCAUCACGUUCCCACCAGUUUCACGGUCGUUUCUUAUCGAUUUCAGCUACACGUCUUGUCGACAGGGACAUUUAAGAUUAGUUAUGUACAGUAAACACUUCAACAACGAUGUGAGUUUAUCUGGAAAAUAUAUAAUCGAAUGUCAACUGCAAAGCACUCCCUUCAUAAUUGUAUCAAACAAAUAAUUAAAUGUCCAUUGACCUCAACUUCCUUCAUGUAUUUUUUUACACUAAAAAGUACAAAGACGGUGACGGUGCCACUAUGGUUAGUUAAUCAUGGGUUUAUUUUAUACUAUAAUGUAGCAGCCAUGAUUUUAAAUCAUUUUGGGAAUACUUAUGUCAAACCGUGGAAGCUCCGUCAAUGGUUGGAACCUGAGUGGCGACGAUGGUAGGAACCUGAGUGGCGACGAUGAGAUCGUCGAUGGUUGGAACCUGAGUGGCGACGAUGAGAUCAGUAUGCCUUCCAUUUUUUUUUCUUGUUGCUUUAGGAGACAGGGUGAUGGAUGGGUGCAUUAUUUAUAAAGAGAAUUAUUUUGAUAAUAAUAAUGGCUACGGUUUACUUUAGCUUUAAGGAAUAAAAAGGAGAAUAAUUAGGGCGUUGCCUUCUCGUAGCAUUGAUGGGACCACACUCAUCACGUUCCCACCAGUUUCACGUUCUUUCUUAUCGAUUUCAGCUACACGUCUUGUCGACAGGGACAUUUAAGAUUAGUUAUGUACAGUAAACACUUCAACAACGAAGAAAAGAUGGUUGUGAGUUAAUCUGGAAAAUAUAUAAUCGAAUGUCAACUGCAAAGCACUCCCUUCAUAAUUGUAUCAAACAAAUAAUUAAAUGUCCAUUGACCUCAACGUCGUUCAUGUAUUUUUUUACACUAAAAAGUACAAAGACGGUGCCACUAUGGUUAAUUAAUCAUGGGUUUAUUUCAUACUAUAAUGUAGCAGCCAUGAUUUUAAAUCAUUUUGGGAAUACUUAUUAAUACAUGUUAUUAAUUUAGUGAUUAAUAUGAUAAGUUAUUGUUUGUAUUCUCUAAAUUUUAAAUUGACAAUAUAUAAAGCGGGGUUCUAAUCAAAAUAUACAUAGAUGCUUGUUAUUGUUUAUAUUUCUUUUUUUGGAGCCACACAUGUAUUAUAAACAUUUUGGAAAAUCUGUUUAUACAAUAUAGUCAUUAUACUUUUUUGUUUGAUUAGUAUUUAAUUAUGCAUCAUUAUAUUUUUUUAGUUUCAACUUUUGUAAUUGAAAAUAUUAUUUUUGGAAAAGAACACUUAUCUUAUUCAUUUUUAGCCAAAAUUUCUAUUUUAUUAAUUUAUAUUCAAUUAUCUAAAUAAAUUUAAAUAUAAGUUUGUUGCUAAUUAUAGUACAUAUUAUAUAUAACUAUUCAUUAUAUAUAUUAGCAUAAUUAUCCCUAAUAGUAUUCACAUUAAUUAAUCAGUAUGUAUUCGUCACUAAAAUUACCUUUUAUAAAACCAAACAAAUAACAUGUAAAUGAAGUUGGACCCUAAUGUGAUGUGUGCUCGUAAUUGCACUUUUUCGUUUAUAGUAAGCUAUAGCCUAUACAAAGUAUUAUUGUUGUUUAGUUGAAUACUAAUUUUGAAAACUACGAAGAUAGUAAUUUAUAGUAUAACAAAUACACGAGUUUUACAGUAUAAAUUUUAUAUAACUAAAUUAUAACUCAUUUAGUUGUUAAAAUUAUAUUGUUUAAUUAUAUAAUUAAUAAUGAAUUGUAUAGAACUAUUCAUUAAGGUUAAUAUAGAUAUUAACCAAUUUAAAUUUUAAGAGUUCCGUUGCGAAAAUAGAUAUGCAAAAAUAGAUAUAGUGUAAUGAUAUUUGUAGUUGACAUAAAUAAGAAUCAUAUUUUAUUAUGGAUACUUCAUUUUUUUAAAAUCACAAUAGGAUACUUCAUUAAUAUAUGCAGUGUGGUUGGUUGGAUGAUGUAAAUCUACCUGUUAAAUUGAGUUUUUUUUUUUCUCUCAAUCCCUUGACUUGGCAUAAAAGUAUUAUUCAUUAAUAUAUACUUGACUUUUUCCACUGGGAAUAUGUUUUAUUUAGUUACAGUACUAAGCUCCUUUAUUUACUAUGGAGCAGAUAGCUAGAAAGAGUGAGAUGACAUGAAGGCGAUCUUGAUGUGGAUAAAGUGUUUCAUGCAUCUGUGAGUGUCUUCAUCUUGUUCUCAAAAGAGAGGCCUGAGCGGAGGAAAUCUUGGUGUGCAGUGAUCUUGGUGGUAACGUUAAUGAACCUCUGAUACCAUUUGCCAGAAUCUUUGAGGUUUCUAUCACUAACGUCUGUCCAGUUAACGUAACUGAGUCCGAAUCGGACGGUAAAACCUUUACCGAAUUCAUAAUUAUCUCCAAGAGCCCAUGCAAAGUAUCCUUUUAUGUUGACACGCUUCUCCCUGAAAACAAAAAUAACCAUUAAAAACCUAUGACGAUCUAAGAGCAUCUCCAAUGGUGUUACCCACCAUCGGAGUCCUUAGCAAUAUAAUAGUAUUUUUUUGUUUUGUUUUUUGUUUUGUUUGAAUAGUUAAGGAUUCUAAUGCUAAUUGUAUGUCCAAUGGUGUUAUCCAUUAUGGAAUCCUUAGUUUUUUUUUAAUUGAAUCUUAGAAAUUAAAAAUUAUAAAAUUUGCAAAACAUUUAAAUUUAAAAUUCAUUUAUUGAAAAAUUAAAUGUAAACAUACAAUUAUUAUUCAUCUUCAUCAUUACUAAACUUGUUCCAAAUAUUUUUGAUUAAAUCAUAUCUCAAUCAUUCAUGUAAAUACCUAUCACGAACAUGACUCCGUAUGCGAAGCAUAUUACCGAGAUUUAGAGGCAUCUUGGGAGAACCGGAUACAUCCACGGAAUGAUAACUGAUUCAAACUAAAACCAGGAGUUAAUACCCCCAAGAACAAAGAAAAAGUUGAUACCUUGUCGAAAAUGGGGUACUCAGCCUUGAAACGGGUACAAGCAAACUGAACAAUCUCUUCAUUAGAACCAGGUUCUUGAUUCCCGAACUGGUUACAAGGGAACGCAAGGAUCUCAAACCCUAAAAACCAUUAUAACACACAAUCAUUUAUACAAUAUGGUUCAGUGAAGAAACAAAGAAAACACAAAAAAAAGUAUACCAUGAUCUUUGUACUUGUGAUAGAGCUGCGCAAGCUCAGUAUAGUUCGAAUUGGUCAAGCCACUGCACCAAAGACAAAGGAUCCAAAGAAACUACUUAAUUACCAUUGAUCGAAAUCGACUCAGAUUUAAAAUUAUAAUAAAAAAAAUAAAAAUUGCAAAUGAAAUGAAAAUUGGGAAAACAUAUACCACUGAGAAGCAACGUUGACAAUCAACAGAACCUUCCCCUUGUAGAUGCUUAGAUCCACUUCGUUUCCCUUCGCGUCCUGAAAAAUCCCCAAAACAGUAAGUAUAUUUUUUUUUUAGCUCUCAAUCGUUCAAAAUUCACAUAGUUUCUCUCGAUUUAUGUUCAACGAAAUUCGAUACUCUGUUUUAAAAACUCUGAUUCUGAAAAACAACUUUCAAUCAAUCCGUCGGGAGAGAUUUCGAACCUUGACUGUGAAAUCAUGGACGGAUUUUGGGGAGGAGGAAGUAGCAGCCGCCAUCUCGAAAUUUUAGUUAAUGGAAGCGAAGGAAUUCGAUUCGUUGAUGAGAGCUGAAAAAGAAUCGAGUUUCAAUGAAAUCAGAGAUAUCGAUCGAUGAUUGAUUCUUACUUAUAUAGCUAGCACAUUCUUUUCUCGUAAAAUUAUAUAUUUAUUUUUAUUUGUUAUUCAGCAGCUUCUUUCUCCAUGUCAGUGGUUGGAGGAUCGGUGGUACACGUGGACGCUUGUAGAGCAGCCACGUAGGAGCCAAUGAGUAUGUGCUUACGUCAUAUCAGUUGUGCUGUCGCAAUGUGAACGCUAACGAGAUAUUUUUUUCUAACUUCAACGCAUUAGGGAAUAUUAUUGUACACAUUGUGCCGUCAAUACUAUAAUUUUCAAACAUGUCAGCAUAGUUAUCUAAAGAUAAAUUCUAAUUAAAAAUAUUAUUAUUUUAACUUUUUCAUUUGUUUUUAUUUUAUAAUAAUAGUUAAUUAUUUCUUAGAUACUUUUUUUUUUCUCUGAAAUCUGAUAUUUUAUAUAACAAAGGUUUUUUACAAACAAAAGCCCAAAAAGAAAAGGGAUCCUGACCUACCAACAAGACCCAACUACAACACUAGAAAACCAAACACAGGCCCAUAUCCACUAACAAACAGAUGACGCAAAACAACGUGUUCAACUCAAGAGAAAAGAGGGACACGUGCAAAGACAAUAUCACCGUCUUCUUCCACCUGCGAAUCGUCGCUGCAACUGAACCAAAAGCCACCGGAAACCACCGGAAUCACACCGGAAACGCGAGCCACCAUCGAUUUCACCAACUUAAAAGUCGUUAUCGGAACAAACAGAUCACUUUAACUCCGGAGUCAACCGGGAACACGACCACAACCACCGAAAACCACAUCCAACGACUGUGUUGGAAGUUUUACGGAUUCAGCAUCUUUCCACACAUACGCCUAAGCUUUGUAUAGCAUCAAUCAAAUAAACUCAAGAUCUCAUCCAAACCCAGACCACCCAAUCACUAAAACGAAAAACGUCAUACAGCUCGAUCACUUCCGAGGAUUCGAUAGCCGGCAACCACCACCGAAGAAGAAACGGCACGGCCCCAGAAACAAAGCCAGUCAUCCACCAAACGAUCGGUGCGAUACUGGAACAGAAAAACCAAACAUACAGUACCGAAGAACCAACGAUACCACAUGACGGACCGGAAACUAAACAAGAUAAACAGAACUGAAAUAAAAAGGAAGAAACCCGACCGACGACGUGGCUAAAGGAGCCCACCAUCGUCGGCCGAGAACUAUUUUUCUUAGAUAUUCAUGUUUAAAACAUUG